GUUGAUUUUUCUAGUGCUGCAAGUUGAUGUUAUUUUUAUCAUGUCCGACCACCGCCAAGCCGGCCUAAUAGUACUUCCUCCUAUAAUUUUGGGAUAUGAUGAAUUAUACGACGAUAAUGGAGAAAAACAUGCAAAUAGUCGCCAACCACAUCAUCAUUCCCAAGAAAAUCACCGCCCAGACAAGAAUAUAGAUAACUAUUAUGACCAUGAACAACGCGAAACCAAUGACGGUAAAUUACGGUCACAUAAAAAAACGAAGCCAUGUCGCGGUUAAUAAAGGGCAUAUUUAUU